AGCAGCCGCGGUAAUUCCAGCUCCAAUAGCGUAUAUUAAAGUUGUUGCAGUUAAAAAGCUCGUAGUUGAACUUCGGGAUUUUUCCAUUGGUCAGGCUUAACUGUCUGUACUGGUGUGAUGAAUUCCUACCUUCUGAGGAAUCUCCAUGCCAUUCACUUGGUGUGGUGGGGAAUCAGGACUGUUACUUUGAAAAAAUUAGAGUGUUUAAAGCAGGCUAACGUCUGAAUACAUUAGCAUGGAAUAAUAGAAUAGGACGGAUUGGUUCUAUUUUGUUGGUU
rnacentral:rRNA from 1 species